UUAAUUAUUAUCUUUAAGGUUCAGAAGACAAAUUUCUAAUGGGUUUGAGAAAACUUCUGCCGGCCAAAGCCGGCAAAGAAACAAAUUAAUUAAGUCAAGGGUUGAAGUUUGGGCGCUGGAUCAGCACCCUAAACUAGUAAUGAUCCUUCCGCAGGUUCACCUACGGAACGUUGAUUUUUAACUAACUCUAGUUAAGACCGGUCAUAUCUUGACCAAAGAUUUGGUUACCACUAUCUGAUCUGUGAGCCUAGAAGGCUGCUGAUUCAAUAGUCUCAGCAUUUGAGUGGCAUUGCUUGCAGAAGGCAAACUGCGCAUUUCUUUACAGUCGCUGCUAAAGGCUUCAAUAGGGGAGAAGGAAA
rnacentral:misc_RNA from 1 species